GGCAGCGUGGCCUAGUGGAUGGAGCGUGGGCCUAGAAGUCCGAAGGAUCUGGGUUCUAAUCCCAGCUCUGCCA
rnacentral:tRNA from 1 species